ensembl:lncRNA
GGCACACAGUGUGUAGAAGGAGAAACGGGCUCAGCUUUAUCUUGGCAAAAUGGAGGGCCGCUCCCUCCACCAAAGAGGGACAGAUAGACACCAAGCAUCACAGCCCAAGUCUCACGUACUUGAACAGAGAAAAGACUGACUGAAACCUCCAGCAAGUCCUUUGUGCUGGAAAGUCAAUUCCUUUCUGUUCUUUCUGAUGGGCAGGAAAAGCACUAUCCACUGCAAUCGACAACCAGUCUGGUCUGUCCUGCCAAGAUCUGAGACUGAUAAAGCCUCUGUAGCACCACAAACCAGAGCUUGCUCUCACUCUCACGAUUGCACCAAGAGCUUUAAGGAAAUGGCAAAUUGAAUUCCUUGCCUCAGAGGGAAUUUAUUUCCCCUUUAGCCCAGUGAAAUAAUCUGUGCCAGACAUUACUUUUGGCCUUUAGACUCAUAAAAGCCUGUCUGAAGGCUACUACGGCUUCCUUUGUCUGCGUCUCUAAAGCACAGAAAACAGCAAUAACUGUCCAGCAUUUAAGAGAAAACAAGCUUUUCUCCAUAUGGGUUUGUAAGGGCUUUCAGUCCUGGAUUUUUCUAACUCUACUCCAUCGCUUUGUAAUCCACUGCAAGACAAACCAUACUCCGCAAUGAACUCACCAAGGUCUUUGCCACCACCCCCUGUCAGUUGAUAAAUUCUGUUCACCUUUCAACUGGAGAUUUUUAAUUAAUUUAAUACAAAAGCGAAUUGCACUGCUUUAGGGGCAGUCCCUGGAAAGAUGCAUUUUGAUCUUGAUCUUCUUUUGUAUGCUGGCCUCACAUUUCCUGAUUUGGGGGAUAGCAAAUGCUCUCCUUUGCACAGCACGUAAUUGCUUUACAAAAGAUGUAAGGCUGAAGCCUGGAAGCAUAAGCAGAUGGGCAUGGGACAGACAGCUAGACCUGGAAGUGUUUCCUCUGACCAGCACAAUGCUUCUAGCAGGAGGCUAACAAAAAUGCCCCUAGAGAACAAACGAGACCACCUGAUGAAGCCUUGGUGGACCUACACUCCCUCUGCCAUGGCAAGGGCCUGGAGAAAGCAAUGUGUGGGUGCCUAUUGCUGGUUGUCCUUGAACACCAACGCCAGCUUGAUAAGCACCAGCCAUUCACCUAAAAGAGAAGAGUGACUACAAAAUACAGACGCUAUUUACUGUUUAAAAUGAGGUACUGUAAUGGCAAACCAGCCUCACAAUUUGGAAACAUUUUUACCAGUAAAGAACACUCCUUCAGAUCAAAAAUCCAGGGCCAAUGUCUCUGCAUGGCCUGGCUGCCUCUCACAGGUCUAUUACAAAAAACAAAACCCAUCUGACUGCUUGUUCCAUCAUUCCACACUUCAGAGAGCUGAAAACCUUGUAUUUCCUCAUGAGGAACAGCCUCCAGAGGUCAUCUCCAGACCACAGCGAGCUGACCAAGCCCUGCCUGUAUGGCCUGGAGAGCUC